GUGGAUUAGAUACCCUAGUAGUCCUGGCCGUAAACGAUGGAUACUAGGCGUAGCGGGUAUCGACCCCUGCUGUGCCGCAGCAAACGCGAUAAGUAUCCCGCCUGAGUAGUACGGCCGCAAGGUUGAAACUCAAAGGAAUUGACGGGGGCCCGCACAAGCGGUGGAACAUGUGGUUUAAUUCGAAGCAACGCGAAGAACCUUACCAGGGCUUGACAUCUGGAGAAUUUUCCGGAAACGGAGAAGUGCCCGCAAGGGAGCUUCAAGACAGGUGGUGCACGGCCGUCGUCAGCU
rnacentral:rRNA from 1 species